ACAUAACUAGAAUUGCCAUUGCAAGCAAUAGCGGAUGUCACCCUGGUCCACCAAUUGCCUCUAAAUAGUUGCCAUGGUAACGGCAGCCAUUUUGGAAAUUCCAAAGUUGAAUGCCGCAUCUAGAUUAAUAUGUUAACAUUUCUGUAACGUUUCAUACAUUUUUGAAGAAUUUUCAAAAUUUUGUUUUUUUUGAACAGUUUCCAUGGCAACAUUUGAAAAUUCCAAAGUCAUACUGCUGCUUCAUAUUGUGCUCCCCAUAAUAUUAUACCAUUAUAUAACAUUUAAUGGCCGUAGAUUUACUUUAACACUAAUGUUCUAGAAUGUUCCAUUACAUUUUUACAUUCUUUCUGUUUCCAUAACAACGGCAGCCAUGUUGGAUAUGCCAACCCUCGACUGCACUUCUGCACAUGGUCAUUAACAUUUUGGUAUAGUUCCAUAACAAUUGGUCCAUCCUAUUCUUAGAAAUAGUC
rnacentral:lncRNA from 1 species